rnacentral:rRNA from 1 species
GACGAACGCUGGCGGCGUGCUUAACACAUGCAAGUCGAACGGUGAAGAAAAGAAUCGCAGCUUCGGCAGAAAUUCAUUUCGGAUUAGUGGCAGACGGGUGAGUAACGCGUGAGCAACCUACCUCUUACAAAGGGAUAGCCUCGGGAAACCGGGAUUAAUACCAUAUAACAUUGCGACGAAGCAUUUCGAUGCAAUCAAAGCUACGGCGGUAAGAGAUGGGCUCGCGUCCCAUUAACCGGAUGGUGAGGUAACGGCUCACCAUAGUGACGAUGGGUAACCGGCCUGAGAGGGUGAACGGUCACACUGGAACUGAGACACGGUCCAGACUCAUACGGGAGGCAGCAGUGGGGAAUAUUGCACAAUGGAGGGAACUCUGAUGCAGCGACGCCGCGUGAGUGAUGAAGGAAUUCGUUUCGUAAAACUCUGUUCUAUGGGAAGAAAAGGACUGUACCAUAGGAGAAAGCUCCGGCUAAAUACGUG